CUCUCAUAUUUAUUUCAAGUUCAACGGCACAUUGUGAUGGUUCGUAAAAAUACGUCUUCACUUACAUUCGUUUUUCUUCUUAGUUUGGAGAAAGUAAAAGCCAUUUAAUGUCCAGAAACACUCGAGAAGUCGCCCAAAUAUGAACACUAGUAACUCCUGUACAGUUGUGUGAACACGUGCGCGACAUUCGAGGAUGGAGAAAUGCGUUUGAGUGGAACGAUGUCUUCAUUAACGAGGGCGUCUUCCUGUUCUGCUCCAUGGGAAGUGACAUCAUCGAGUCUUCUGAUGACCUCAUCAGCAG
ensembl:processed_transcript